GUGCACCUACGGGGCGCAGCAGUGGGGAAUAUUGCACAAUGGGGGAAACCCUGAUGCAGCGACGCCGCGUGAAGGAAGAAGUAUUUCGGUAUGUAAACUUCUAUCAGCAGGGAAGAAAAUGACGGUACCUGACUAAGAAGCCCCGGCUAACUACGUGCCAGCAGCCGCGGUAAUACGUAGGGGGCAAGCGUUAUCCGGAUUUACUGGGUGUAAAGGGGGCGCAGACGGCAAUGCAAGCCAGGAGUGAAAGCCCGGGGCCCAACCCCGGGACUGCUCUUGGAACUGCAUGGCUGGAGUACAGGAGG
rnacentral:rRNA from 1 species